GAACGAGAAAGUGGAGCAAUCCAUGAGUAAAGUGGCGACCGGGUGAGUAACACGUGACUAACCUGCCCUUGAGUGGGGGAUAACCUCGGGAAACCGGGGCUAAUACCGCAUAACAUCACGAGGGGAAGAUCCUUGUGAUCAAAGGAGCAAUUCGCUCAAGGAGGGGGUCGCGGCUGAUUAGCCAGUUGGUGAGGUAACGGCUCACCAAAGCAAAGAUCAGUAGCCGGCCUGAGAGGGCGCACGGCCACACUGGAACUGAAACACGGUCCAGACUCCUACGGGAGGCAGCAGUGGGGAAUUUUGCGCAAUGGGGGAAACCCUGACGCAGCAACGCCGCGUGGAGGAUGAAGCCCCUUGGGGUGUAAACUCCUUUCGAUCGGGACGAUAAUGACGGUACCGGAUGAAGAAGCACCGGCUAACUCUGUG
rnacentral:rRNA from 1 species